UCUUUGAUGAUCCUUGUGGAUCCCUUCCCACUCAGCAUAUUCUACGAUUCUGUGAUUUUAUCUGAAGCAAUUUAGAAAAAUCUCACUGACAUUUCCUUAGGACUGUGGAUAUCCUCAUUGGGGUUAAGAAGAUGAUUCACAUCCAUGAGCAUUAGAGCUGGUGGUGUAACACUGGUCCUGAUGAGAGCUGGCAGCUCGGCAGUUGACAGCAAGGCACUGUUGAUUGUACAGCUUCCUUCUACAAGAAAUAAUGUCUGCUCUUGCUGUAAAGAGAGAAAGAUUCUGCAUGUCUCUAGAGGAUGUGUUCUCUUUUUUCUUUCAGCCGUUUGUGUGAUGUUUCUUGGUGCUUUGCAGUCAGGUUGCUAAUCCUUACCCAGCUUCAGGCUCUGCUAAGAGAUCUUUCCUAGUAACAGCAAACCCAAGGCUGCCAAAAAACCUGGUUUGGAGGAAGAAGAGCUUGAGCAGGCACUACACUGACAAGGCUCCAGGCAUGUGAUUGGGAAGAGUAAGAGCAGCCCCCCCCAAAGUAGCACAGCCACGGUGGAAACCUCCUUCUGAACUGCUCCCUCACAUUGUUGGUGGUGUUGUCGUCAGAGGCCGUGUGAGUGUGGCUGCUCUGCUUUCGGCGCUUCCGGAUGCACCAGUAAAACACAGUGACCAGGCAACAGAUCCAG